CCCUGCUGACUGUUGUCUAACUAUUCAGCCAAGAAAUACAAUAAAAUUGAACAGCCAUUUCGUAAUACAUAAUAUACAAUAUCUACGGUUUCUGUUAUCAUCAUUGGAAAGAAACAUCUUUUUUUCUACUCCUAACAUGACAGUAACAGCAUAUACUCAGAAAGAAGUAAAUAGAAAGAAGCAAAUACACAUGAAAUUGAACAGCCAUUUCGUUAAAUGCUCGCAUUUGGAGCCAACUCACAUUCGUGUGGCCUAAUGCCUUAAUCUAUUCUUCAAUAAACAUGCGACAGUAGCAGCCCAUCAAGCAAGAACUAUUGGAAACGUCAGAAGAUAUAUACCGCAAAAACAACAUAAGCAUGUUGCUCCAAAAGAAAUAUGAGCUGAACUUAGUCCUCUCUUCAAUUAACUCAAAAUGUAAGAACACAAGAAAUCCAAUAGGACAAGGAGAACAUUUAGAUCAAAAUGAUUUUACUGAUAAAGUGAUUAAGGAGAAAGAUAUGAAAGCAUAUGAAACAUAAACAAAAUGUAGGAGAAAUAUGAAAGCAUAUGAAGUCACAACAGCCGAUCUCUUGAAGUCACAACAGCCGAUCUCUUGAAAAAGCAGUCGAUCUCUUUGAAUUUUGGUCUUUGUUUGCCUGGAAUUUCUAAAGCAGCAGCCAAUCCCUAAAUCCUUUCUGAGAAGUGAGGAGUGAGUUCU
rnacentral:lncRNA from 1 species